rnacentral:rRNA from 1 species
GAUGAACGCUGGCGGCGUGCCUAACACAUGCAAGUCGAGCGAACCCUUCGGGGUGAGCGGCGGACGGGUGAGUAACGCGUGGGUAACCUGCCCUGUACACACGGAUAACAUACCGAAAGGUAUGCUAAUACGGGAUAAUAUAUGAGAGUCGCAUGGCUUUUGUAUCAAAGCUUUUGCGGUACAGGAUGGACCCGCGUCUGAUUAGCUAGUUGGUAAGGUAACGGCUUACCAAGGCAACGAUCAGUAGCCGACCUGAGAGGGUGAUCGGCCACAUUGGAACUGAGACACGGUCCAAACUCCUACGGGAGGCAGCAGUGGGGAAUAUUGCACAAUGGGCGAAAGCCUGAUGCAGCAACGCCGCGUGAGCGAUGAAGGCCUUCGGGUCGUAAAGCUCUGUCCUCAAGGAAGAUAAUGACGGUACUUGAGGAGGAAGCCCCGGCUAACUACGUGCCAGCAGCCGCGGUAAUACGUAGGGGGCUAGCGUUAUCCGGAAUUACUGGGCGUAAAGGGUGCGUAGGCGGUCUUUCAAGCCAGAAGUGAAAGGCUACGGCUCAACCGUAGUAAGCUUUUGGAACUGUAGGACUUGAGUGCAGGAGAGGAGAGUGGAAUUCCUAGUGUAGCGGUGAAAUGCGUAGAUAUUAGGAGGAACACCAGUAGCGAAGGCGGCUCUCUGGACUGUAACUGACGCUGAGGCACGAAAGCGUGGGGAGCAAACAGG